GACAGAGGGGGCAAGCGUUGCUCGGAAUCACUGGGCGUAAAGGGCGCGUAGGCGGGAUGGCAAGUCGGUCGUGAAAUCCUUCGGCUCAACCGAAGAACGUCGGCCGAUACUGCCGUUCUUUGAGGGAUGCAGAGGAGAUUGGAAUUCCCGGUGUAGCGGUGAAAUGUGUAGAGAUCGGGAGGAACACCGGUGGGCGAAGGCGGGU
rnacentral:rRNA from 1 species